rnacentral:rRNA from 1 species
GACGAAGGGGGCUAGCGUUGUUCGGAAUUACUGGGCGUAAAGCGCGUGUAGGCGGUUGCCCAAGUCGGGUGUGAAAGCCCUCAGCUCAACUGAGGAAGUGCGCCCGAAACUGCAGAGCUUGAGUGCCGGAGAGGGUGGCGGAAUUCCCCAAGUAGAGGUGAAAUUCGUAGAUAUGGGGAGGAACACCAGUGGCGAAGGCGGCUGAUCUGGGACGGUUUCUGACGCUAAGACGC